rnacentral:lncRNA from 1 species
CCCCCCCUCAAAUGAGGCAGUAUUUGAAGUGGAAAGGUGAUCUGGGGGGGUGGACUUAUCUGAGGGGUUGGAUCAGCUCAACAAACCACACUUGUGUUCUCCUGGGUGUCAAGCACUGCGGCUGCCCAGACAAAGGUGUGGGUCCUAUUGUCAGGGAGCUCAGGACAGCAGGGCAGGCACCGUGGAAACAAAGUCUUCCCUCCGUAUUCACGGGUUACACAUUCCACAGAUUCAGCCAAGGGAAAAUAUUUCCCAAAAGAAUUUUUUAAAUCGCACUGAAUAUGUAGACUUCCCCCUUCUUGUCAUUCCUUAAAGUAUACAGCAUGACAACUGUUUAUAUGCAUUUAUAAUAAGCAUUAAACGCUGCCUGCUGUGCAAGCGCAAGGACCCGAGUUCGAUCCCUGGUACCAAAAAAAACCACACAAAAAACCAAAAAUAAUAAGCAUUAUAAGUAAUAAGAGAUGAUCUAAGCAUACAGGAGGAUGCAUGUGGGUUAUAUGCAAAUACUGUACCAUUUUAGAGGAGGGAUUUGAGCAUUUGUGGAUUUUGGUACCUGCGGAGGAUCCUGGGACCAAUAUCCCAAUACUGAGGGACAGCUGCAAUUACAGUACAGUCUGCCAUAGACAGGGCGGACAGGGAGAGGGAUGGGAUGGGUGGAGUAGCUUCACAGAGGAGAUUUGAACUGAGUUUUAACAUCAAUCAGAGCCAGCUGUGGUGGUGCCCAGCCCUUGGGAGGCUGAGGCAGGACGAUUGCCACAAGUUCAAGGCCAACCUGGACUAAUAGUGAGUUCAAGGCUAGUCUGAACUACAUAGCAAGUCCCUGUCUCAAAAAUAAAUAAAUAAAUAAAGUCAGAGCGGGGCAUGGUGGCACAAGUCUAUAAUCCCAGUACUCAGAAGGCUGAGGAAGGAGGAUUUCUGCAGGUUUCAGGCCAGCCUGGGCUACACAGUAAGUUCAAGGCCAGCCUGAAUUACAUAGUGAAACCCUCACUCAGAAAAUCCCUCCCAAAAAACCAAUAAAAUAAGCCAAUCAAAACUCCUGAUUUUAUUCAGUGUGGUGGAGAUGCUAUUGCAGGGGUUGUUUUGGCUUGGUUUUUCAGACAGGUACCUGUGUGGCCCAGGCUGGCCUGCAAUUUGCAAUGCUCCUGCCCCAGGGCUGGGAUCGAGGCUUGCACCAUGGUGCCCAGCUCACCAGGGGAUUUGGGGAAAGGCAUGAUGGUAAUCCAGUUUGUUUUAAAGGAUCAUUCUGGGGCUAGGUAUGUACUCAGUGUGAGAGCGCAUGCCUGGCAUGUGUGAGGCCUGGGGUUCAAGGCCGGGUACUGCAUAGGGAGGGACAGGAGUUUACCUCAGAGGUCAAGCAUUUGCCCAGCAGGCAGGUGGCCCUGGUAAUGGUCCCCUGCAAGGACAGGAGAAGGGGAUGCUCCUGGGGCUGAGAAGUCGAGAUUCUGUUACAGGCCUCUGCUAGUUCCUGGGUAUUUGCUGUCAACCUUUGCUGCUCUGGCUCACAGACAUGGCCCCUGACCUCGGCCUUUGUGUCCAGGUGGUUUCCCCCCGUGUGUGCUCACGUGUCUAGUUUCUACUUCUUACAAGGACACGGUCGCACUGGACUAGGGCAUGUCCUAAUGACCUCAUCUUGGAUGUCUGUGAAGAAUCCGCGGUAUUUCCACAUCAGGUCACACUCACAAGUCCUGUGAGCUUGGUUUUCAGCAUCUCUUGGGGAGCACAACUCAGCCCCUAACAGCCUGGAGAGGGUGGAGACAGCAAAACUUCUUGGUGGCCAUGACAAGGCCUGUGUGCACGAGCGGUGGGAGUGAAAGCCACCUUGGGUAGGUUGGAGAGAAAACAGGAGAGAAUGGAGACCAGGAGCACACGCAGCUCUCGAGAAAUUCAGCUGUUGUGGUGCAGGAAUUUGGAGGGGCAUGAAACUUGGAGAGAUUUUUAAGAUAGGCAAUAUUAAACUACAUGAGUGUAAAUGAUCUAACUUGUGUGCUAUGGAAGAGAAGGGAUGACAGAGGUGGGAUUUAGAAAGGAAGGGCUGGGUUCCAGGGGGCCCGUGGCUUGUAGGGAGACUGAAGGCGGAGUUGUGGCUUGAGCCGCAGGUGGCUCUGGUGUGGGAAAGAUGAGCCAUGUAAGUUUGGCUCUGUUUCCUGGAUGAAGUCAGAGGUGGGAGCCUAAACUGAGAAUGUGUUUUAUGGGGGGGAGGCUGGGAAUCUGGAGGAGGGAGGCGCUGUGAAGUAGCCCAAGUGUGGAGCAGCAGAGCUCGGGAACUACCUGGCCUUGACCAGGUCAGGGGGUCACACAGGCGCCAAAUGCGUGGGUAGUUCUGUUUAACUAGGGCUGGAAUAGGGCCAGAGAAGGAUGUUAGAGCGGGGCAAGAGAGAAAAGGGUCUCUGUAAGGGGGGUGAUUUUAACAACGGAUCAAGACAGGAAAUGAGGAGGUGCUGGGUCACAAAAGAGUGGUCUCGGCCAUGGUUUGUGGUCUCUGAGUGCUGAAGGAGCUGAAUGGGGACCUCGGGCAGUGAGCCCAGCCGGAAAGGUAGGAGGUGGCAGAGGGCUGGAUACUCGGCGAUCAGAUUUUAGAAGCAGUGCCAACUCUGGAAAAUAGUCAAAGCUAUGUACUUUUUCCUCAGGCCUGGCAAAAUCUUUUCCAAUAAACACAAUGAACUGAGGUUUUAAUUAUCUGCUGCCAAACUGCCAGUCAGAUCGCCAGUCCAAGGACUCCCUGUCUUCAGCAGCUUGCACACAGCCAUGGCAAUGAAUUGUUAGCCCCGUGUGCAGAGCUCCCCUCCCCUCCUCGCUGAAGCAGGCUGGGUUGUGAGUGAGACAGACAAGCAACAUCACAAAUUCUCAGAGCUGAAAAUACUUCGUUGUUUUCCCCAUAGAACAACUUUUUCUAAAGAGGGUCUCGCUGGCCUUGAACUCACAGUGAUCCUCCUGCCUCAGCCUCCCGAGUGCUGGGAUUACAAGUGUGCACCACCGCUCCUGGCACCUAAAACAACUUCUGGGCCGGGGAUUUAGCUCAGUGGCACCGAGCCUGCCUCGAAAGCGAAAGGUCCUGAGUUCAAUCCCCAGAACCAAAAAAAACCCAAAGAACAACAACAGAAAAACUCCAAAACAACUUCUAAGAUCAUAUGCACCAAGUAUCCUGUAGACUUCAUUACACACCCAUGAGAAAACGAAUGUGGAGACGAAACAAGCCCAACAUGACGGUGCAUGCCUGUAAUCCCAGGCAUGGCAGGACUGCAAAUUUGAGCCAGCCUGGACAAUUUAGUGAGUUUGUUUCAAAACAAAAUGAAAAGGGUUGGAGAUGCAGCUCAGUGGUAGAGCAUUUGUCUAGCAUGCAUGGUGGUGGUGGUGUGAAAGUUUAGAACUUUGAUGAAAAUGUCUUUUACUGUAAGGACCCUGUGAAAUGAUUUCAAAAGAGAAACCUCAUUAGCAUUUCCGCUGUCUCUCCUGUGGUGAGCGCAUCAUGUGGUGAAUCCUGAGUGCACAUGCACAUGUCAAACUGUGCCCUGAGGAUAAAGCAAGUUCUAAUGUAUGGGGAAAGGAUUAAAUAUUUGUUUUCUGAAAAGUUACUUUGUAUUUUGUUUUCUAUUAAAAUGUAUUUAGUUUAAAAAAAAGAGAAACCUCAGAG